UCCGGCUUAUCACCGGCGGUUUCUUUAGAGUGCCCAACUAAAUGAUGGCAACUAAGGCCGAGGGUUGCGCUCGUUGCGGGACUUAACCCAACAUCUCACGACACGAGCUGACGACAGCCAUGCAGCACCUGUGUUCCUCCCACCCGAAGUGAAGGAUUCCAUCUCUGGAAUCCAUAGAGGACAUGUCAAGGGCUGGUAAGGUUCUUCGCGUUGCUUCGAAUUGAACCACAUGCUCCACCGCUUGUGCGGGCCCCCGUCAAUUUCUUUGAGUUUUAAUCUUGCGACCGUACUCCCCAGGCGGAAUGCUUAAAGCGUUAGCGACGGCACCCGGGGACUAUAUAACCCCAGACACCAAGCAUUCAUCGUUUAAGGCUAGGACUAC
rnacentral:misc_RNA from 1 species